GAUGAACGCUGGCGGCGUGCCUAAUACAUGCAAGUCGAGCGAACAGACGAGGAGCUUGCUCCACUGACGUUAGCGGCGGACGGGUGAGUAACACGUGGAUAACCUACCUAUAAGACUGGGAUAACUUCGGGAAACCGGAGCUAAUACCGGAUAAUAUAUUGAACCGCAUGGUUCAAUAGUGAAAGACGGUUUUGCUGUCACUUAUAGAUGGAUCCGCGCCGCAUUAGCUAGUUGGUAAGGUAACGGCUUACCACGGCAACGAUGCGUAGCCGACCUGAGAGGGUGAUCGGCCACACUGGAACUGAGACACGGUCGAGACUCCGACGGGAGGCAGCAGUAGGGAAUCUUCCGCAAUGGGCGAAAGCCUGACGGAGCAACGCCGCGUGAGUGAUGAAGGUCUUCGGAUCGUAAAACUCUGUUAGUAGGGAAGAACAAAUGUGUAAGUAACUAUGCACGUCUUGACGGUACCUAAUCAGAAAGCCACGGCUAACUACGUG
rnacentral:rRNA from 1 species